CCAAUGUUGUUGCUAAUGCUUUGAGCGAGAAAUCUUUGUUCGCCCUACGUGCAAUGAAUACUCAGUUGGCUCUAUCUAAUGACUGCUCGAUUGUAGUUGUGUUGAAAGUGAAACCGUUAUUUAUACAGUAGAUUUGCGAAGCUCAGAAAGUUGAUAAUGAAUUGUUAGCAAAAUGGGCUCAAUGUGAUUCGAACCUUGAUUCAGAAUUUUAGAUUGAUGCUGAUGAUUGUUUAAGAUUCAGAGGCCG
rnacentral:lncRNA from 1 species